UACGAAGGGGGCUAGCGUUGCUCGGAAUCACUGGGCGUAAAGGUGCGUAGGCGGGUCUUUAAGUCAGGGUGAAAUCCUGGAGCUCAACUCCAGAACUGCCUUUGAUACUGAAGAUCUUGAGUCGGGAGAGGUGAGUGGAACUGCGAGUGUAGAGGUGAAAUUCGUAGAUAUUCGCAAGAACACCAGUGGCGAAGGCGGCUCACUGCCCGAUACUGACGCUGAGGCACGAAAGCGUGGGGAGCAAACAGGG
rnacentral:rRNA from 1 species